rnacentral:rRNA from 1 species
CACAUGUCAGCUCGACGGCAUCCAGAAGAGCUUGCUCUUUGGGUGGCGAGUGGCGGACGGGUGAGUAAUGUCUGGGACACUGGCCGAUGGAGGGGGAUAACUACUGGAAACGGUAGCUAAUACCGCAUAACGUCCCGAGACCCAAGUGCGGGACCUUCCGACCUCCAACCCCAUCGGGAUGUGGCCCCCGAAUGGGAUUAAGCUACUUACGUGGGGGUAAUGGGUUCAACCUAGGCCAACGAUCCCUUAGCUGGUCUGGAGAGGGAUGACCCAGCCCACACUGGAAAUUGAGACCACGGUCCCAGACGCCUACGGGAGGCAGCAGUGGGGAAUAUUGCACAAUGGGCGCAAAGCCUGAUGCAGCCAUGCCGCGUGUAUGAAGAAGGCCUUCGGGUUGUAAAGUACUUUCAGCGGGGAGGAAGGCGGUGAGGUUAAUAACCUUGCCGAUUGACGUUACCCGCAGAAGAAGCACCGGCUAACUCCGUGCCAGCAGCCGCGGUAAUACGGAGGGUGCAAGCGUUAAUCGGAAUUACUGGGCGUAAAGCGCACGCAGGCGGUCUGUUAAGUCAGAUGUGAAAUCCCCGGGCUUAACCUGGGAACUGCAUUUGAAACUGGCAGGCUUGAGUCUCGUAGAGGGGGGUAGAAUUCCAGGUGUAGCGGUGAAAUGCGUAGAGAUCUGGAGGAAUACCGGUGGCGAAGGCGGCCCCCUGGACGAAGACUGACGCUCAGGUGCGAAAGCGUGGGGAGCAAACAGGAUUAGAUACCCUGGUACUCCACGCCGUAAACGAUGUCGACUUGGAGGUUGUGCCCUUGAGGCGUGGCUUCCGGAGCUAACGCGUUAAGUCGACCGCCUGGGGAGUACGGCCGCAAGGUUAAAACUCAAAUGAAUUGACGGGGGCCCGCACAAGCGGUGGAGCAUGUGGUUUAAUUCGAUGCAACGCGAAGAACCUUACCUGGUCCUUGACAUCCAGAGAACUUAGCAGAGAUGCUUUGGUGCCUUCGGGAACUCUGAGACAGGUGCUGCAUGGCUGUACGUCAGCUCGUGUUGUGAAAUGUUGGGUUAAGUCCCGCAACGAGCGAAACCCUUAUCCUUUGUUGCCAGCGGUUCGGCCGGGAACUCAAAGGAGAAUGCCGGUGAUAAACCGGAGGAAGGUGGGGAUGACGUCAACUCAUCAUGGCCCUUGACGGCCAGGGCUACACACGUGCUACAAUGGCGCAUACCAAAGAGAAGCGACCUCGCGAGAGCAAGCGGACCUCAUAAAGUGCCUCGUAAUCAGGAUUGGAGUCUGCAACUCGACUCCAUGAAGUCGGAAUCGCUAGUAAUCGUAGAUCAGAAUGCUACGGUGAAUACGUUCCCGGGCCUUGUACACACCGCCCGUCACACCAUGGGAGUGGGUUGCAAAAGAAGUAGGUAGCUUAACCUUCGGGAGGGCGCUUACCACUUUGUGAUUCAUGACUG